CAGAGAAAAGUCCUUAUUCUCCGCCUCUCUUCCUCUCUAGUUUCUCUCUCUUUCUCUUUCUCUUCCUCCCUCACCUCAAGCCACCACCACUACCAUCAUCACUUUCAUGGCCGAGACGGAAAAUCAGAGGCGAUGAUUAUGAACUUGAUAAACCAUACAACCUACCUGUCUCUAUCUACCUUUCUUUCUGUCUCUAUCUCUCUGAAUAUGUUGCUGCUGCUUCGACUUCAGAAAAAAAAAAGUAAAGUUCCCACAUAGGAACCAUUUUCUUCUCAUCCUUCUCACCCGUUGAUCCAACCAUAUACUCAACGAAAGUUUCUUGGAACUGAAUGAGAAAGACGGAUCUAGCUCAUAUGAAAUUGUCUUGGUGCUAAUCUGGCUACCCCAACUUAUAAAUCUGGAGACAAAGGGAAUGAAUCGGUUUUUAUACUUGUUUGGUACUGAGCAGCUUUGCAACUUAAGAAAAGUGGUAGACUGAAAAAGUGAUAGAUUGAAUGUGAAGGUGCUACUUUUUCUGAGGUGAUGUAGAAAUGAUUGAUAUCUUUGGGAGAAUUGUUAUCCGGCUUGCUAGAAGGCUUAACGAGUUUUUCAACCAGAUAAUGCCUAAAACUUGAAUCACCAAACAGCUUGGGAAAUGAAUCCCUAUUUUGUAUGAUUUUGAUGUAGUUCUGUUGUGUCGAAUUUUAUGUUUUGGAUCACCUCUGCAUGGUAGAUAUUAGGUGUCUUGUGUGUUUAAAACCGUUGGGAUUUAUGGAUGAUCAUUACCCUGUUCGUGGUGCUUUCUCCCUUCUUAAGAUCUCAUUCAUUUUUUGGUGGUCAAGUUAUGAAUGUUGCGUGGAAAAUGUGCAGGGCAUGUGUAGACACCCAUGUUCAUCGCUCCACAGCAGCAGGGUGGUGUCACCUCUAGAGCACAGAGUAAUGUCGGAAACUCUUCUCAGGUCUCACAAUUUGUUCAUCAGCAGGUCAAUCAACAUUUCCAGUCGACCCCUCUUCCAACCAAUGCUGCAGGACAGUUCUAUACACCAGGAUUUGAGCAACUCAAGCUUCCAGUCACCUGUUAUCAUGAACAAGUUGUCACAGAUUAUGGGUGAUUCAACUAAGUGACAUCCUGUCGGCAGAAUUUGGAGUAGCUCUUGCAGUGUGAGUGCACAAGAUUCUUUAGUAAACUAGACCUCAAGUAGGCAUGCAAAAGCAAGUGCAUAUGUUCUCCGAAACUUCGUUGGAGGAUUCCCUUCCUGCUCUUUUAUGCUAACGUGUCUACAUGUUCUGAUCACCAUGAAGUAAAGCCUGCAUAGUGUGAAUAAGUAUGUCACUUGGCUCUGUUAAGGCGCUGCCCUUUUAUCCAUCAGAUUUCCACUUGUCUGUUUGUGUUUGUUUGUGGAAAGUACUAUUACUGUUACUGGAUUGUGCAGAUCAGAAAGUUGUUGAGUUUUAAGUUGCAAGGGUGCAAGAUGAAUCUAAAGUGAUGACUGCAGAGAGUGGAACGUAACUUGGGAUGGCUCCUGAGGGUCAUAGAGCAAAGCCUUACGAUCACAAGGCGAACAUUUUCAGUUUCACAAUCGUGUUGUAGGAGAUGCUGACUAGAAAGUUCGAUACCUUCAUGGAUGCCGUCACUCUCUUCCCUAUGGUCUAAUGAGGGUUGAUGAUAUCAUGGUUGAUGGUGAAAUCGUUGUUGCUGUUGGAUAAGGGAAAUGUUGGAGAGGGUUGUGCUUCUACAGGAUAUUCUCUCAAGCAAGCUGGUGCCAAGGUCCUAAUGACUGAAAUUGUGGUUGAAAAUUUUAGGACUUGUUGUACCACUUCUCUUUAAGAAACCUUAACUAUAGGGAGUUGAAUCCUUUUUUUUUUAAUGAUUUUAGACUAAAUUUAUGAGCACAGUUCAAUGUAAUGGUGCUAUCAUUUGGUAUUAGAUGAUUCAAGUUUUAUUUGGAAUUUGAAUCUGAAUUUAAAUUGAAUUUUAGUAUUUUAAUAUUAUGUCACUUGAAUUUCACUUGAA